rnacentral:rRNA from 1 species
GAUGAACGCUAGCGGCAGGCCUAAUACAUGCAAGUCGAACGGUGUCUUCGGACAUAGUGGCGCACGGGUGCGUAACACGUAUGCAACCUACCUUACAUUGGGGGAUAGCCUUUCGAAAGGGAGAUUAAUACCGCAUAAGACAGUAGCUGGGCAUCCAGUAGCUGUUAAAGAUUUAUCGAUGUAAGCUGGGCAUGCGUCCAAUUAGUUAGUUGGUGAGGUAACGGCUCACCAAGACGAUGAUUGGUAGGGGAACUGAGAGGUCAAUCCCCCACACUGGCACUGAGAUACGGGCCAGACUCCUACGGGAGGCAGCAGUAGGGAAUAUUGGGCAAUGGACGCAAGUCUGACCCAGCCAUGCCGCGUGCAGGAAGAAGGCGUUCUGCGUUGUAAACUGCUUUUAUAUAGGAAGAAACGACCCUUGCGAGGGGCAUUGACGGUAUUAUAUGAAUAGGCACCGGCUAACUCCGUGCCAGCAGCCGCCGCAGUAA